CGAACGUAUCACUUAAAGCGAUUCAGCGGGUUACGAUUGACGGAGCGAAGCGACGUCAAAGCGUAUACAAAGUCGAGUCGGUUUAAGGAUACGUUCGUUGGGUAGGGGAGCGUUCUGUAAGCCUGCGAAGGUGGCCUGUGAGGGUUGCUGGAGGUAUCAGAAGUGCGAAUGCUGACAUAAGUAACGAUAAAGCGGGUGAAAAGCCCGCUCGCCGGAAGACCAAGGGUUCCUGUCCAACGUUAAUCGGGGCAGGGUGAGUCGACCCCUAAGGCGAGGCCGAAAGGCGUAGUCGAUGGGAAACGGGUUAAUAUUCCCGUACUUGGUGUUACUGCGAAGGGGGGACGGAGAAGGCUAUGUUGGCCGGGCGACGGUUGUCCCGGUUUAAGCGUGUAGGUGUGUGUUCCAGGUAAAUCCGGUUCACUUUAACACUGAGGCGUGAUGACGAGGCACUACGGUGCUGAAGUAACAAAUGCCCUGCUUCCAGGAAAAGCCUCUAAGCAUCAGGUAACAUCAAAUCGUACCCCAAACCGACACAGGUGGUCAGGUAGAGAAUACCAAGGCGCUUGAGAGAACUCGGGUGAAGGAACUAGGCAAAAUGGUGCCGUAACUUCGGGAGAAGGCACGCUGACACGUAGGUGAAGUGAUUUACUCACGGAGCUGAAGUCAGUCGAAGAUACCAGCUGGCUGCAACUGUUUAUUAAAAACACAGCACUGUGCAAACACGAAAGUGGACGUAUACGGUGUGACGCCUGCCCGGUGCCGGAAGGUUAAUUGAUGGGGUCAGCGCAAGCGAAGCUCCUGAUCGAAGCCCCGGUAAACGGCGGCCGUAACUAUAACGGUCCUAAGGUAGCGAAAUUCCUUGUCGGGUAAGUUCCGACCUGCACGAAUGGCGUAAUGAUGGCCAGGCUGUCUCCACCCGAGACUCAGUGAAAUUGAACUCGCUGUGAAGAUGCAGUGUACCCGCGGCAAGACGGAAAGACCCCGUGAACCUUUACUAUAGCUUGACACUGAACAUUGAGCCUUGAUGUGUAGGAUAGGUGGGAGGCUUUGAAGUGUGGACGCCAGUCUGCAUGGAGCCGACCUUGAAAUACCACCCUUUAAUGUUUGAUGUUCUAACGUGGACCCGUUACCCGGGUUGCGGACAGUGUCUGGUGGGUAGUUUGACUGGGGCGGUCUCCUCCUAAAGAGUAACGGAGGAGCACGAAGGUUGGCUAAUCCUGGUCGGACAUCAGGAGGUUAGUGCAAUGGCAUAAGCCAGCUUGACUGCGAGCGUGACGGCGCGAGCAGGUGCGAAAGCAGGUCAUAGUGAUCCGGUGGUUCUGAAUGGAAGGGCCAUCGCUCAACGGAUAAAAGGUACUCCGGGGAUAACAGGCUGAUACCGCCCAAGAGUUCAUAUCGACGGCGGUGUUUGGCACCUCGAUGUCGGCUCAUCACAUCCUGGGGCUGAAGCAGGUCCCAAGGGUAUGGCUGUUCGCCAUUUAAAGUGGUACGCGAGCUGGGUUUAGAACGUCGUGAGACAGUUCGGUCCCUAUCUGCCGUGGGCGCUGGAGAACUGAGGGGGGCUGCUCCUAGUACGAGAGGACCGGAGUGGACGCAUCACUGGUGUUCGGGUUGUCAUGCCAAUGGCACUGCCCGGUAGCUAAAUGCGGAAGAGAUAAGUGCUGAAAGCAUCUAAGCACGAAACUUGCCCCGAGAUGAGUUCUCCCUGAGACUUAGAGUCUCCUGAAGGAACGUUGAAGACGACGACGUUGAUAGGCCGGGUGUGUAAGCGCAGCGAUGCGUUGAGCUAACCGGUACUAAUGAACCGUGAGGCUUAACCUUACAACGCCGAAG
rnacentral:rRNA from 1 species